CGCGUAGGGGGCAAGCGUUGUCCGGAUUUAUUGGGCGUAAAGAGCUCGUAGGUGGUUCGGUAAGUCGGGUGUGAAACCUCCAGGCUCAACCUGGAGACGCCACCCGAUACUGCUGUGACUGGAGUCCGGUAGGGGAGCGUGGAAUUCCUGGUGUAGCGGUGAAAUGCGCAGAUAUCAGGAGGAACACCAAUAGCGAAGGCAGCUCGCUGGGACGUUACUGACACUAAGGCGCGAAAGCGUGGGGAGCGAACAGG
rnacentral:rRNA from 1 species